CAAGGAAACUACAUGGGUGUGGUCCCAGCUAAGCCCAGCCACAUCUCUGCAGGGUGCUGACUGCUCCCGGAGGAGGAAAGCAUGAAACAGGAACAAUAGUUCGGUGUCCUUUGCAUGAGUAAUGUUUUGAAAGAGCUGCAAGAGACCAAGGGAAGCCUUAUCUCAUCGGCAUACGAUGUUCACCAAGGGCCUGCUGGAAGAUCCAAGUCCAGUCUGCACUUGUGAAGCACCUGCUCUGCAGGUUCUGAUUUUGUCUCGCCUUCACUCUGGGGACUUCUACUAAGGAGAGGGCAAACUGGGGAAUUCCUUCUGGGAUAUGUUGAUGCUUGCAUUUUCUGGUGAAGUUAUGCUUGCUAUGUUCAUACAGUGCUGAACCAAGCAGUUGUUCUUCUCAUAAAGCUUCCAACUGUAACCUUUGUCCAGAGUGCUUUGACAAGUAGAGCUGUAGCUUCUGUAUAGCUGGAACUGAACAAUGGAGAUGUGAUGGAACUUUGGGUUCUGUGGAUACCUCCUGACAAGCGAUGGCUGAUUUGACGUAAGGAGCUGAUCAGAUGGAAAUCAUCAGUGAACCCAAUAUUAUACUUUGCAGUGUGUGUACAAUUGCCUUGGUAGCUUCCAAAAGAGUGUAGUUGGGGAUUUUAAGAAGUCCGCCUUGUUCU